AAUGAAGUGCCUGAUUAAAGGAUUAUCUUGAUAGGGUAAAUAAUGUAAUUUUAUUACCUUCAUUA
rnacentral:tRNA from 1 species